GGGCGAGCAUGACAAGGGCAUCUGGUGGAUGCCUUGGUACCGAGAGGCGAUGAAGGACGUGGCACGCUGCGAUAAGCUCAGGGGAGGGGCGAGCACCCUUUGAUCCUGGGAUCUCCGAAUGGGGCAACCCACGGCACAUGUGCCGUACCGUCAGGUGAAUCCAUAGCCUGGCGGGGCGAACCCGGCGAACUGAAACAUCUCAGUAGCCGGAGGAAAGGACAUCAACAGAGACUCCGUCAGUAGCGGCGAGCGAACGCGGACCAGGCCAGUGCCUCGUGAGCAAAGGACCGGAACCGUCUGGAAAGGCGGGCGAGACAGGGUGACAGCCCCGUACGGGUAGAGUGCUCGUGAGGACAUGAGUAGGGCGGGACACGUGAAAUCCUGUCUGAACAUGGGGGGACCACCCUCCAAGCCUAAGUACUCCUCGGUAACCGAUAGUGAACCAGUACCGUGAGGGAAAGGUGAAAAGCACCCCGAUGAGGGGGGUGAAACAGACCCUGAAACCGGAUGCCUACAAUCAGUGGGAGCUUGGUCUUGCGGCUUCGGCCGGAGGAUCGGGUGACCGCGUACCUUUUGUAUAAUGGGUCAGCGAGUUCGUGUCGGCAGCAAGCUUAAGCCGUGAGGCGGAGGCGUAGCGAAAGCGAGUCUUAAACGGGCGCACAGUUGCCGGCAUGAGACCCGAAACCAGGUGAUCUAGCCAUGAGCAGGCUGAAGGUGCGGUGACACGUACUGGAGGGCCGAACCCACGUCUGUUGAAAAAGACGGGGAUGACUUGUGGUUAGGGGUGAAAGGCCAAUCAAACCUGGAGAUAGCUGGUUCUCCGCGAAAUCUAUUGAGGUAGAGCGUCAGGCGUUUCCCGCCGGGGGUAGAGCACUGGAUGGGCUAGGGGGUCGCGAGACUUACCAAACCUAACCAAACUCCGAAUACCGGCGCGUUAGCCUGGCAGACAGACGGCGGGUGCGAAGGUCCGUCGUCAAGAGGGAAACAGCCCAGACCGCCAGCUAAGGUCCCCAAGUCGUGGCUAAGUGGGAAAGGAUGUGGGAAGGCCAUAACAACCAGGAGGUUGGCUUAGAAGCAGCCAUCCUUUAAAGAAAGCGUAACAGCUCACUGGUCUAAUAGCCGUCCUGCGCCGAAGAUGUAACGGGGCUCAAGCCACGCACCGAAGCUGCGGGUGUGCAUGAUCUGCGGAUGAUGCACGCGGUAGCGGAGCGUUCCGUAGGCCUGCGAAGGCGUGCCGUGAGGCAUGCUGGAGGUAUCGGAAGUGCGAAUGCUGACAUGAGUAGCGAUCAACAGGGUGAGAGACCCUGUCGCCGAAUACCCAAGGGUUCCUGCGCAAGGUUAAUCCGCGCAGGGUAAGCCGGCCCCUAAGGCGAGGGCGAAAGCCGUAGUCGAUGGGAACCAGGUCAAGAUUCCUGGGCCCGCUGGAGGUGACGGCGGUCGAACCUUGUUCCUCCUUAUCGGAUUGGAGGGGCGAGCAAGGCCGUCCAGGAAACAGCCCCAGCUUAUGGACCGUACCCGAAACCGACACAGGUGGGUAGGUUGAGCAUACCAAGGCGCUUGAGAGAACGGUGUUGAAGGAACUCGGCAAAUUGCCCUCGUAACUUCGGGAGAAGAGGGACCCUGGGACGGGCAACCGUCUUGGGGUGGCACAGGCCAGGGGGUAGCGACUGUUUACUAAAAACACAGGGCUCUGCGAAGUCGUAAGACGACGUAUAGGGUCUGACGCCUGCCCGGUGCCGGAAGGUUAAGAGGAGAGGUGCAAGCUUUGAAUCGAAGCCCCGGUAAACGGCGGCCGUAACUAUAACGGUCCUAAGGUAGCGAAAUUCCUUGUCGGGUAAGUUCCGACCUGCACGAAUGGCGUAACGGCUUCCCCACUGUCUCCAACACCGACUCAGCGAAAUUGAACUGCCCGUGAAGAUGCGGGCUGCCCGCGGUCAGACGGAAAGACCCCGUGCACCUUGACUACAGCUUUGCAGUGGCACUAGGCGAUCCAUGUGUAGGAUAGGUGGGAGCCUGUGAAGCGUCGGCGCCAGCCGGCGUGGAGGCAGCCUUGAAAUACCACCCUUGGAUGGCCUGGUGUCUAACCGCGGUCCGUGAUCCGGAUCCGGGACCCUGCAUGGCGGGUAGUUUGACUGGGGCGGUCGCCUCCCAAAGCGUAACGGAGGCGCGCGAAGGUUGGCUCAGCUUGGUCGGAAACCAAGCGUAUGAGCGCAAGGGUAUAAGCCAGCCUGACAGCGAGAGCGACGGCUCGAGCUGAGACGAAAGUCGGUCCUAGUGAUCCGGUGGUCCCGCGUGGAAGGGCCAUCGCUCAACGGAUAAAAGGUACGCCGGGGAUAACAGGCUGAUCACGCCCAAGAGUUCCCAUCGACGGCGUGGUUUGGCACCUCGAUGUCGGCUCAUCACAUCCUGGGGCUGAAGCAGGUCCCAAGGGUUCGGCUGUUCGCCGAUUAAAGUGGUACGUGAGCUGGGUUUAGAACGUCGUGAGACAGUUCGGUCCCUAUCUGCCGUGGGCGUUGCAGACUUGAGAGGCGCUGCUCUUAGUACGAGAGGACCGGGGUGGACGAACCUCUGGUGGACCGGUCGUCGCGCCAGCGGCGCAGCCGGGUAGCUACGUUCGGAAGGGAUAACCGCUGAAAGCAUCUAAGCGGGAAACCCGCCUCGAGACCAGGUCUGCUUUUAGAGCCGUGGGAGACCACCACGUUGAUAGGCCGGGAGUGGAAGUGCGGCAACGCAUGCAGCUGACCGGUCCUAAUCGCUCGAACACAGUUCCCCCGA
rnacentral:rRNA from 1 species